rnacentral:tRNA from 1 species
CAAAUUAAAGCUUAUUAAAGUUUUUUAUUUACAUUAAAAAGAUAAUUGUUUAAAUCAAUUUAAUUUGA